rnacentral:rRNA from 1 species
GCGUGAAUCUGCCGGGACCAUCCGGUAAGGCUAAAUACUCCCGAGAGACCGAUAGCGAACCAGUACCGUGAGGGAAAGGUGAAAAGCACUUCGAACAGAAGAGUGAAAUAGUUCCUGAAACCGUGCGCCUACAAGCGGUCGGAGCUCGUUAAUGAGUGACGGCGUGCCUUUUGCAUAAUGAACCUACGAGUUGCCUUUGCCGGCAAGGUUAAGUGUGACGACACACGUAUCCGAAGCGAAAGCGAGUCUGAACAGGGCGUAUAGUCGGCAGUGGCAGACGCGAAACCAAGUGAUCUACCCUUGGCCAGGUUGAAGGCUGGGUAACACCAGCUGGAGGACCGCACCAAUAAGCGUUGAAAAGCUUCUGGAUGAGCUGAGGGUAGGGGUGAAAGGCUAAUCAAACUUGGAGAUAGCUCGUACUCCCCGAAAUGCAUUUAGGUGCAGCCUUGCGGGUUACUGAUGUGAGGUAGAGCGACUGAUAAGAUGCGAGGGCUUCACCGCCUAUCAAGUCUUGACAAACUCCGAAUGCGCAUCAGUUCUACCGCAGGAGUGAGGGCAUGGGUGCUAAGGUCCGUGCCCGAGAGGAGAAGAAUCCGGACCACCUGCUAAGGUCCCGAAAUGACAGCUAAGUUAAACUAACGAAGUCUGACUGCUAAGACAGCUAGGAUGUUGGCUUGGAAGCAGCCAUUCAUUUAAAGAGUGCGUAACAGCUCACUAGUCGAGGAGUCGGGCGUGGAUAAUAAUCGGGUAUCAAGUUGUCUACCGAAGCAGUGGGAUCAUUAAUAUGAUCGGUAGGGGAGCAUUCCAGUCAGCGUCGAAGGCGUACCGUGAGGUAUUCUGGAGCGUCUGGAAAAGCAAAUGUAGGUAUAAGUAACGAUAAAGGGGGCGGGAAACCCCCUCGCCGAAAGACUAAGGUUUCCUGAUCAACGCUAAUCGGAUCAGGGUCAGUCGGGUCCUAAGGCUCAGCCGAACGGCGAUGCCGAUGGCAGAAACGGUUAAUAUUCCGUUACUACCUUCAGGAGUGACGUGGAGACGCAGUAGUGACAGUGCCGCCAUCUGACGGAAUAGAUGGUUGAAGGGUGUAGGAGUCGAUCAUGGCAGGCAAAUCCACCAUGAGAUCCGAACCUGACAGUAUGCCGCGUCCUUCGGGACAAGGCAAUAGUGCGCGUAAGCAUGCUGCCGAGAAAAUCCGCUAAACUUAAUCCUGCAGGUACCCGUACCGCAAACGGACACACGUAGUCGGGAUGAAUAUUCUAAGGCGCUUGAGUGAUUCACGGUUAAGGAACUAGGCAAACUGACCCUGUAACUUCGGGAUAAAGGGUCCCUACCCUUUUAUGGGAGGGCGCAGAGAAUCGGUCCAGGCAACUGUUUAACAAAAACACAGGGCUGUGCCAAAUCGAAAGAUCCAGUAUACAGCCUGACACCUGCCCGGUGCUGGAAGGUUAAGAGGAGAUGUCAUCGAUAAGAGAAGCGUUGAAUUGAAGCCCCAGUAAACGGCGGCCGUAACUAUAACGGUCCUAAGGUAGCGAAAUUCCUUGUCGGGUAAGUUCCGACCUGCACGAAUGGUGUAAUGAUCCGGACGCUGUCUCAACCAUGAGCUCAGUGAAAUUGUAGUAUCGGUGAAGAUGCCGAUUACCCGCGAUGGGACGAAAAGACCCCGUGAACCUUUACUAUAGCUUAUCAUUGAAUCUGGGCACGUGAUGUGUAGGAUAGGUCGGAGGCUUUGAAGCAGGUACGCCAGUAUUUGUGGAGCCGCUGUUGAAAUACGACCCUUUAUUUGUUUGGAUUCUAACCCGUGGAACGGGGACAUUGAUUGGUGGGUAGUUUGACUGGGGUGGUCGCCUCCAAAAGCGUAACGGAGGCUUCUAAAGGUACCCUCAGACCGAUUGGUAACCGGUCGGAGAGUGUAAUGGCACAAGGGUGCUUGACUGAGAGACCCACAAGUCGAUCAGGUAGGAAACUAGAGCAUAGUGAUCCGGUGGUUCCGCAUGGAAGGGCCAUCGCUCAAAGGAUAAAAGGUACUCCGGGGAUAACAGGCUGAUCCCUCCCAAGAGCUCAUAUCGACGGAGUGGUUUGGCACCUCGAUGUCGGCUCGUCACAUCCUGGGGCUGGAGAAGGUCCCAAGGGUUGGGCUGUUCGCCCAUUAAAGUGGCACGCGAGCUGGGUUCAGAACGUCGUGAGACAGUUCGGUCUCUAUCUGUUGUGGGCGCAGGAAAUUUGCGGAGAUCCGACACUAGUACGAGAGGACCGUGUUGGACAGACCCCUGGUGCAUCGGUUGUUCCGCCAGGAGCACAGCCGAGUAGCUAAGUCUGGAAGGGAUAAGCGCUGAAAGCAUCUAAGUGCGAAGCCCACUCCAAGAUAAGAUUUCCGUAUAGGGACGUCAAAGACGAUGACGUGGAUAGGCCGCAGGUGU